rnacentral:rRNA from 1 species
AUUGAACGCUGGCGGCAGGCCUAACACAUGCAAGUCGAACGAGUGGCGGACGGGUGAGUAAUGUCUGGGAAACUGCCUGAUGGAGGGGGAUAACUACUGGAAACGGUAGCUAAUACCGCAUACCAUCGGAUGUGCCCAGAUGGGAUUAGCUAGUAGGUUGGGUAAAGGCUCACCUAGGCGACGAGCCCUAGCUGGUCUGAGAGGAUGAACAGCCACACUGGAACGGAGACACGGUCCAGCGGCCUACGGGAGGCAGCAGUGGGGAAUAGUGCACAAUGGGCGCAAGCCUGAUGCAGUCAUGCCGCGGGUAUGAAGAAGGCCUGCGGGUUUUAGAGUACUUGCACCGUGGAGGCGUUACCCGCAGAAGAAGCACCGGCUAACUCCGUGCCAGCAGCCGCGGUAAUUC